UAGGCUGCAACUCGCCUACACGAAGCUGGAAUCGCUAGUAAUCGCGGAUCAGCACGCCGCGGUGAAUACGUUCCCGGGCCUUGUACACACCGCCCGUCACACCAUGAGAGUCUGUAACACCCAAAGCCGGUGGGAUAACCUUUGUAGGAGUCAGCCGUCUAAGGUAGGACAGAUGAUUAGGGUGAAGUCGUAACAAGGUACC
rnacentral:rRNA from 1 species